rnacentral:rRNA from 1 species
UGGGGAAUUUUGCGCAAUGGGCGAAAGCCUGACGCAGCGACGCCGCGUGUGCGAUGAGGGCCCUUGGGUCGUAAAGCACUGUCAACUGGGACGAAAACACCGUUGUGAAUAGCAGCGGUGCUUGACGGUACCCGUAAAGGAAGCACCGGCUAACUCUGUGCCAGCAGCCGCGGUAAUAAAGAGGGUGCGAACGUUGUUCGGAAUUACUCGGCGUAAAGCGCGUGUAGGCGGUUCGUUAAGUCGACUGUGAAAGCCCAUGGCUCAACCAUGGAAGUCCAGUCGAUACUGGCAGACUGGAGUCCAGGAGAGGGUGGUGGAAUUCCCAGUGUAGAGGUGAAAUUCGUAGAUAUUGGGAGGAACACCGGUGGCGAAGGCGACCACCUGGACGGGUACUGACGCUGAGACGCGAAAGCGUGGGGAGCAAACAGGAUUAGAUACCCGCGUAGUCC